GACGAACGCUGGCGGCGUGCUUAACACAUGCAAGUCGAACGGAAAGGCCCUGCUUUUGUGGUGUGCUCGAGUGUCGAACGGGUGAGUAACACGUGAGUAACCUGCCCUUGACUUUGGGAUAACUUCAGGAAACUGGGGCUAAUACCGGAUAGGAGCUCCUGCUGCAUGGGGGGGGUUGGAAAGUUUCGGCGGUUGGGGAUGGACUCGCGGGUUAUCAGCUUGUUGGUGGGGUAGUGGCUUACAAAGGCUUUGACGGGUAGCCGGCCUGAGAGGGUGACCGGCCACAUUGGGGCUGCGAGAGGGAGCAGACUCCUACGGGCGGCAGUAGUGGGGAAUAUUGCACAAUGGGCGGAAGCCUGAUGAAGCAACGCCGCGUGCGGGAUGACGGCCUGCGGGUUGUAAACCGCUUUCGCCUGUGACGAAGCGUGAGUGACGGUAAUGGGUAAAGAAGCACCGGCUAACUACGUG
rnacentral:rRNA from 1 species